AGGUUUCUUCCAACCCAAAUCAUUCCAGGAUUCCGUGACCCCACUCUCCUGCCAUCUCCAGUGAUGUGGAUUUUCCUGCUCCUGCUGCCACCUGCCCCCUCUCAAGGUGCCCCAAGGUGCCUCCAGGCACUUAAAUACCCACUGACCCCAAAUUCCUGCCUGUCCCCACCCAAAGGAAGCUGGAGCCAGACCCCAAUAGAAAUGGCCCCAAGUGCACAGCGGGACUGGGAUGGAGGGAGGGAUUUGGGAAGGGAAUUGGGAUGGGGGUGGCACAGCCACCUCUCAUCUGUGCCAUGGGGGCUUGGCCCUGGCUGGCACUGGGCUCACACCAGUUUCUCCCAUCAGCAGGUGACAGGAGUGGAUGCUGUGGGGUCCAGGUGACCGAGGAAGGCCGGAGAAAAGCCCAGGUUGGCUCUGGAAUGUGGACAGGAUCUGUGGGAUGCUCAUCCCGUGCCCAGGUGCCAGAGGGGACAGCCAGGUGACAUUCCAGGAAGCUGGAAGGACACGGAGCCGCUGCCACCCAGCCCAAGGCACCAGGAGGAUGAUCUGCAGUCAGCGAGGGAAAGGGGAAAAAUUCCAGUGCAUUAAAGGUGUUGAAAGCCC